rnacentral:piRNA from 1 species
UGGAAGGUGGGUUUCAUAGGAUCUAUGCA